GACGAACGCGGGCGGCGUGCUUAACACAUGCAAGUCGAACGCUGAAGACCUGGCUUUUGUUGGGUUGGAUGAGUGGCGAACGGGUGAGUAACACGUGAGUAACCUGCCCCCUUCUUUGGGAUAACGCCCGGAAACGGGUGCUAAUACUGGAUAUUCACUGGCCUUCGCAUGGGGGUUGGUGGAAAGGUUUGUUCUGGUGGGGGAUGGGCUCGCGGCCUAUCAGCUUGUUGGUGGGGUGAUGGCCUACCAAGGCUUUGACGGGUAGCCGGCCUGAGAGGGUGACCGGUCACAUUGGGACUGAGAUACGGCCCAGACUCCUACGGGAGGCAGCAGUGGGGAAUAUUGCACAAUGGGCGAAAGCCUGAUGCAGCGACGCCGCGUGAGGGAUGGAGGCCUUCGGGUUGUAAACCUCUUUCGCUCAUGGUCAAGCCGCAACUGUGGGUUGUGGUGAGGGUAGUGGGUAAAGAAGCGCCGGCUAACUACGUGCCAGCAGCCGCGGUAAUACGUAGGGCGCGAGCGUUGUCCGGAAUUAUUGGGCGUAAAGGGCUUGUAGGCGGUUGGUCGCGUCUGCCGUGAAAUCCUCUGGCUUAACUGGGGGCGUGCGGUGGGUACGGGCUGACUUGAGUGCGGUAGGGGAGACUGGAACUCCUGGUGUAGCGGUGGAAUGCGCAGAUAUCAGGAAGAACACCGGUGGCGAAGGCGGGUCUCUGGGCCGUUACUGACGCUGAGGAGCGAAAGCGUGGGGAGCGAACAGG
rnacentral:rRNA from 1 species